AUGAACGCUGGCGGCGUGCCUCAUACAUGCAAGUCGAGCGAACGGACGAGAAGCUUGCUUCUCUGAUGUUAGCGGCGGACGGGCGAGUAACACGUGGAUAACCUACCUAUAAGACUGGGAUAACUUCGGGAAACCGGAGCUAAUACCGGAUAAUAUUUUGAACCGCAUGGUUCAAAAGUGAAAGACGGUCUUGCUGUCACUUAUAGAUGGAUCCGCGCUGCAUUAGCUAGUUGGUAAGGUAACGGCUUACCAAGGCAACGAUGCAUAGCCGACCUGAGAGGGUGAUCGGCCACACUGGAACUGAGACACGGUCCAGACUCCUACGGGAGGCAGCAGUAGGGAAUCUUCCGCAAUGGGCGAAAGCCUGACGGAGCAACGCCGCGUGAGCGAUGAAGGUCUUCGGAUCGUAAAACUCUGUUAUUAGGGAAGAACAUAUGUGUAAGUAACUGUGCACAUCUUGACGGUACCUAAUCAGAAAGCCACGGCUAACUACGUG
rnacentral:rRNA from 1 species